ACUUGUGGUCAAGGUCCAACCUCACGUGUCCUGUAUGCGAUAAAAGAGGGAUGCGUGUGGUCAGACCUAGCCCACAAGC
rfam:Anolis carolinensis unplaced genomic scaffold chrTn0353, whole genome shotgun sequence.